GAUGAACGCUGGCGGCGUGCUUAACACAUGCAAGUCGAACGGAAAGGCUCCUGCUUGCAGGGGUUCUCGAGUGGCGAACGGGUGAGUAACACGCGUGUGAACUGCCCUGCACUUCGGGAUAAGCCUUGGAAACUGGGUCUAAUACCGGAUAGGACGAUGGUUUGGAUGCCAUUGUGGAAAGUUUUGCGGUGUUGGAUGAGCUCGCGGCCUAUGAGCUUGUUGGUGGGGUAAUGGCAUACGAAGGCGUAGACGGGUAGCCGGCCUGAGAGGGGGGACGGCCACAUUGGGACUGAGAGAGGGACCAGAAGGCAACCGGAGGCAGCAGGGGGGAGUCUUGCACAAUAGGCGCACGCCUGAUGCAGAGACGCCGCGUGGGGAAUGACGGCCUUCGGGUUGUAAACACCUUUCGAUGGAAACGAAGAGCAAGUGACGGUACCUGAAGAAGAAGCACCGGCUAACUACGUG
rnacentral:rRNA from 1 species